UCUCUGCCGCUUAUCACACACCGAAGGCCAGGCCGUGUCUCUAAUAGUUCCCUUUCACCGCGCUGCCUGCUACUGACUGCGGAAAGUGUAGGUUUGGCUGCACUGAUGGCCCUCGGUAAUGGCUGUGAUUACACCCUCUGCAUCCUCUUCCCAGUGCCAGCCUUUCAGCCGAGCAGCACAUUAUGCCUGGAUAAGACUCAAAGAGCGGCUUAAUACCAGGUUCUCGGGGCUGUAAUGAGCGGUUCAGGAUGAGGCAGACACAGCCGCAGCAGUUGCUCGGCAGCCCGCGGUUCAAACACGUCGUGGCGUCCAUGGGCACCUUUUUGAGUUAAAGCUCGGCUUACACCUUUGCCUGGAUCCUAGAAAAGGAGUGAACACAAACAGAAAAACAAAUACCUUCCA
ensembl:lincRNA Gm29175 predicted gene 29175